UGGCCUCAUCGCCGUGCCACCCUCACACCAUAGAUCUACUCUGUUCGCGAGCUGAGCUAAGGAAGGAGAGACGAACGCGACGGGGUGGAGUGGGAGAGCCGCGCCGGCGCUGUUGGGGUCUCACCGCCGCCGGAAAAGAGGUUCUGGCCACUGCAGGUGUCUCUGUCGGAGGGGGAAACUGUGCCUCUGCAUUUCUAACCGCUGGGAGUGGUUAUGUGACUUCUGGGAUCACCGCCGGAGCUCCGGGCUGAGCUUCUGCCACUUGAGACCCUGCUGCCGUCGCCGGAGAACUCUGCCGUUUUUUUAUAGUUGAUCCACCGAAGCUUCUGGCCGCUGCCGGAGCUGUUGUCGGGGCCGGUUCGAAAUCGCAACUGUUUCGUGUUGUUAUUCCGUGUUGCUAUGGUUAUUGCGAACGUGACUGGGAGCUGAGGUUUUGGUUGCCGUCAGU